rnacentral:tRNA from 1 species
GCUAGGGUAGCUUAAUUUAAGCAUAACCCUGAAGAUGUUAAGAUGGUCCCUAGACACUCCGCAGGCA